UACGGGGGGAGCAAGCGUUGUUCGGAUUUACUGGGCGUAAAGGGCGCGUAGGCGGUAGCACAAGUCAGUUGUGAAAUCUCCGGGCUUAACUCGGAAAGGUCAACUGAUACUGUGCGACUAGAGUGCAGAAGGGGCAACUGGAAUUCUUGGUGUAGCGGUGAAAUGCGUAGAUAUCAAGAGGAACACCUGCGGCGAAGGCGGGUUGCUGGGCCGACACUGACGCUGAUGCGCGAAAGCUAGGGGAGCGAAACGGGG
rnacentral:rRNA from 1 species